GGGCAUGUAGCGUAGUGGUUAUCGCGUUCGCUUUGCACUUGUUAAGUUAAUUGUUUGCGAAAGGUCUCCGGUUCAAAUCCGGACUUGUCCA
rnacentral:tRNA from 2 species